rnacentral:rRNA from 1 species
AGAGUUUGAUCAUGGCUCAGAUUGAACGCUGGCGGUAUGCUUAACACAUGCAAGUCGAACGGCAGCACGGUACGUAGCAAUACGUAUGGGUGGCGAGUGGCGGACGGGUGAGUAACACGUAGGAAUCUGCCCUAUAGAGGGGGAUAACUCGAGGAAACUCGAGCUAAUACCGCAUAAUCUCUAAGGAGUAAAGCUGGGUU